rnacentral:rRNA from 1 species
UACGUAGGGUGCAAGCGUUGUCCGGAAUUAUUGGGCGUAAAGAGCUCGUAGGCGGUCCGUCGCGUCGAAUGUGAAAACCCGGGGCUCAACCCCGGGCCUGCAUUCGAUACGGGCGGACUAGAGUUCGGUAGGGGAGACUGGAAUUCCUGGUGUAGCGGUGAAAUGCGCAGAUAUCAGGAGGAACACCGGUGGCGAAGGCGGGUCUCUGGGCCGAUACUGACGCUGAGGAGCGAAAGCGUGGGGAGCGAACAGG